AGUUCUCAUUCAGACGCCGGCUCGUCCGGAAUAUAAUUUCUCCUCCUUCAGACAGGCAAUCCGUCGGCGUGCUCGUCUCCGUCCGGUUCUUCUUCUUCUUCUACUUAGCUUUUGCCAGCUUGCCAGUUAAACGGCGAGUGCAAGAGUAACUGUUGUUCGCGUGUUGCGUGCGAUAGAGAGCGGACAAAGCGAUUAUUUAAUUUACCCGCAUUCCGCUUUUUGAGCGGGGGCCGCGUGCGAACGAAUCCGAAAUCCAUAUACCAUAUACAUAUAUAUCUGUGUAGAUCCGCCGCAGAUGUUAUACAAUAUGCCGGAGUAACCAUCUGACCCAUUCAAAGGUCAAGCCGAUACGCGCUAAUCUGACUUCCGAUCCAAGUGCAAACUCCCCAUCUCCCUCUGUUCUCCGUUAUCAUUUUCCACCAACAAACUAGUGGGAAACAGCAAAAAAUAUAAAAAAAAAUCUUUAAAAAGUACAAAAUACAAAUACAAAUUACAAAAUGGGUUGCAUGCGCUAUUUGUCAGACGCUCAUUUGAGGGGCUUCGAGCGUUACAAGUACAGCAGUAUAGACACGAGUUUCCUCAGUGUCUAUGUGAUGCACCCGUUCUGGAACUACUGUGUGAAGUUUGUUCCCAAAUGGCUGGCGCCCAAUGUUCUGACCUUCGUGGGAUUUCUCAUGACUGUUGUCAACUUCAUCCUGAUAGCUUAUUACGACUGGGGCUUUGAAGCCGCCAAUCCAAGGACGGGCAACACUGUACCCGCCUGGGUGUGGACAGUAGCGGCCAUAAAUAUACUGAUCUACUAUAACUUGGAUGGAAUGGAUGGCAAGCAGGCUCGAAGAACAGGAACAAGUGGACCUUUGGGAGAGCUAUUUGAUCAUGGAUUGGACUCCUAUUCAGCUGCCCUGAUACCCAUUUACCUAUUUUCCCUUUUCGGCACCCAUGAUUUGCCUCCGAUUCGCAUGUUCUUCGUGAUCUGGAACGUCUUUCUCAACUUCUAUUUGACGCAUGUUGAGAAGUAUAACACGGGAGUUAUGUUUCUGCCCUGGGGCUAUGACUUCACCAUGUGGGGAGUUAGCGGCAUGCUGUUUGUGGCAACCAUUUUUGGACCUGAGAUGUAUCGGUUUGAGUAUCAUGGUUUCACAGUGGCCAACAUGUUUGAGGUGGUUCUAAUUGGUUCUGGCAUGGUCAGUAGUCAUCCGAUUAUUGCACGAAAUAUCUACCUUUCCUAUAAAAAUAAGACCGGAAAAAUGAGACCAAUGUGGGAAAUGCUGCGCCCAUUCUUCGCCUUCGUCUGGCUUUUUGUGAUCACUUUAAUCUGGUCGUUUUUCUCUCGAAACGAUGUGAUCAACCUAGAGCCACGUAUUUUAUGGAUACUCUACGGAACGAUAUUCUCAAAUAUUGCUUGCCGACUUAUAGUGGCCCAAAUGUCGGACAUGCGCUGCGAUGCCUUUAAUGUUCUAAUGUGGCCACUGGCCGCCACAGUGGGUGUCUGCUGUUUUCCCUACUAUGAGCAGGUCUUCGACACGGAUCUCACGGCGGAUACGGAAAAAUGGAUUGUCCAAGGACUCACAAUAUUCUCAACAUUAGCCCACUGGCACUAUGGCUAUGGUGUGGUCUCUGAGAUGUGCGAUCACUUCCACAUUCGUUGCUUCAAAGUAAGAAAAUCUAGCAGCCAAUCGGGUUCAGACAUAACUCAACAACUUCUACAGAACAAUAACAAAACGUUGAAAAGUCAUUGAAACUAAAUCGCCAACUAACCAAAAUCACAUCAAACAAAAAAAAAAAAAAAAAACGGGGAACAACCAAAAAUCAACCAUCUUGUGAUAUAUAGUAUAUAUACAUAUAUAUAUAUAAAUGGGUUCCAAAACAUUUAGCCCUCGCCUAACGUCUAGGUUCUAAGUGGUCCAUACUCAAAUCAAAACACUAAACCGAUACUCGCCCCACUCGGUUUCUAAUGUGAUCACGAAACCGACCGUCACCGCUCAGCAGGAGCUCCAGGAGGUUGUCGAAGACGC